UCCACAUUCAUGAAAAGAUCCCGUAAUGCUAAUAAUCAAGUCAUCAACAGCAGUGGAGAAGCAUCAGAACACUCAGAUGUGCAGAGACUCGAGUCAUGGGGUUUCACAAUAGUUGCUGAUCGUAAAAUGCCAUCUGUAGCUGCUUUACAAGAUUGAGCCACGCUCCAACGUUUUGCCCGUCAACAGUAACCCAGUCCACAGCAGUUGCCGCCGG
rnacentral:misc_RNA from 1 species